AUUGAACGCUGGCGGCAUGCCUUACACAUGCAAGUCGAACGGUAACAGGUUAAGCUGACGAGUGGCGAACGGGUGAGUAAUGUAUCGGAACGUGCCCAGUCGUGGGGGAUAACUGCUCGAAAGAGCAGCUAAUACCGCAUACGACCUGAGGGUGAAAGCGGGGGAUCGCAAGACCUCGCGCGAUUGGAGCGGCCGAUAUCAGAUUAGGUAGUUGGUGAGGUAAAGGCUCACCAAGCCGACGAUCUGUAGCUGGUCUGAGAGGACGACCUGCCACACUGGGACUGAGACACGGCCCAGACUCCUACGGGAGGCAGCAGUGGGGAAUUUUGGACAAUGGGCGCAAGCCUGAUCCAGCCAUGCCGCGUGCGGGAAGAAGGCCUUCGGGUUGUAAACCGCUUUUGUCAGGGAAGAAAAGGUUCUGGCUAAUACCUGGGACUCAUGACGGUACCUGAAGAAUAAGCACCGGCUAACUACGUGCCAGCCGCCGCGGUAAUAC
rnacentral:rRNA from 1 species